AGCGAACGCUGGCGGCAGGCCUAACACAUGCAAGUCGAACGAACCUUUCGGGGUUAGUGGCGGACGGGUGAGUAACACGUGGGAACGUGCCUUUAGGUUCGGAAUAACUCAGGGAAACUUGUGCUAAUACCUAAUGUGCCCUUCGGGGGGAAGAUUUAUCGCCUUUAGAGCGGCCCGCGUCUGAUUAGCUAGUUGGUUGAGGUAAUGGCUCACCAAGGCGACGAUCAGUAGCUGGUCUGAGAGGAUGAUCAGCCACAUUGGGACUGAGACACGGCCCAAACUCCUACGGGAGGCAGCAGUGGGGAAUCUUGCGCAAUGGGCGAAAGGCUGACGCAGCCAUGCCGCGUGAAUGAUGAAGGUCUUAGGAUUGUAAAAUUCUUUCACCGGGGAAGAUAAUGACGGUACCCGGAGAAGAAGCCCCGGCUAACUUCGUG
rnacentral:rRNA from 1 species